UGACGAAGAAUGAAGAGAGCUUUCUUGAUCCUUCGGGAUUUGCUUGGGAGCUUUGGAGUUUCAAAGCUUCAAGGUUUUGGUGUGAGGUGAAUUGGUUAUGAAUUGGUCCUCCCUAAAUGAAUGAAAUGGCCUUGUAUUUAUAGAAUUUUCCAAGGCCUAAUUUUGAAUACAAUAUUCAGAUGAAAUAAAUCAUUUCUGCCAGGUGUUGACACGUGUCCUGCUUGAUGACUUUUCUGAUUUAUUUUGAUUUUUUGUUUAGUCACACGCUACGUGUAAAAUUUAUAUGACACGUGAGCGUUGAAAUUGUAACUAUUGGUCAACAUUUAUUUCACCGAAAUUUCGAUGUCUACAAACA
rnacentral:lncRNA from 1 species